GGAAAAAGUUGAUGCUUGUGAUAUGUGUGCUCACCCAUCAAAUAGGCCAGAAACACAUGAAGAACUUGCAUAAGACGACAAAGAGCGAUUAGAACAUUUGGAGGCAAAGACGUUAAUGGCAUUUCUGCAACUAACUUGGGUAGAUUCAUCUUGGUUAGAAAGAAUGGUAUGUGAUAUCAUCCACUGGGCAGCCAUGGGAACUAUCUUCAUUAGUUUCUCUUGACACAACAGAAAGAAUGUCACCAUCUUAUA